UGGGGAAUUUUGCGCAAUGGGCGAAAGCCUGACGCAGCAACGCCGCGUGGGUGAUGAAGGUCUUCGGAUCGUAAAACCCUGUCGUCGGGGACGAAGGUAGCUUAGUUAACAGCUGAGUUGCUUGACGGUACCCGGAGAGGAAGCCCCGGCUAACUCUGUGCCAGCAGCCGCGGUAAUACAGAGGGGGCAAGCGUUAUUCGGAAUUAUUGGGCGUAAAGGGCGCGUAGGCGGUUUUUUAAGUCAGAUGUGUAAUCCCCGAGCUCAACUUGGGAACUGCAUCUGAGACUGGAAGGCUAGAGUACUGGAGAGGGUGGUAGAAUUCCACGUGUAGCGGUGAAAUGCGUAGAGAUGUGGAGGAAUACCAGUGGCGAAGGCGGCCACCUGGACAGUAACUGACGCUGAGGCGCGAAAGUGUGGGUAGCAAACA
rnacentral:rRNA from 1 species